ACUCUGCUAGAGAGCAGGCCUUGACUGAGACUAUGCCGGCCUUUUGGAGCAAGAAUUUCUAGUUACUAUGCACCACAGAUAACGUGGACUUGAAGGUCAGGAACUCGCCUUGCCCCGUGUCAGAGAAAGGCUUGCGGAGGCGGGGGGAGAGUGAGUGGUAGAAGGGAAGGGCUGAGGGUCCACACUGGAUUUUUACCAACCCUUGCCCACCUAUGAAGCCUGGGGACCUUUCCAGCUGCUCCCAGCUCCCUCUCCCCAGGUCAUGCCCCACCGUAAAGCUACUUUGGAAUAAGCCGGGCACCCGAGUUAAUGAUUGAUUUAUUGGCCUCGAGGCAUUGGGCCGGUCGGUCUCCUUUAUAUUUGCCUAAACUGGAGACUGGCUGUAAAAGCUCCCUUCGGCUGUAGCCACAGCUAGAGAGAGCGGGCCGUGGAAACCCCGGAGAGAAAAUCAAUGCAGCUGAAAUGAAGAAGUGGACAAUUUAUUAGACCGCAUCACGCGACACACGAUGUCAGGAUCACGAAACAGACCAAGGUCCGUGACGUCUAAAGGAAACAUUGGGAAGCGCCACACGUAAACGCUUUGGCAGCUGGUGAUUAGAAGGCAACACAAACACCUUAAAUCAAACUGCUCCGACAACCGAAGUCUCCACACAGACACAUCAAUAAGGAUUUCGCCUCUUGCGUUCAAACCAGAAACACUUGUCCUAUUUUUAUGCAAAUGAAACCACACAAAUGGAUUUCGCCCGCUCUGAGGGAGGGAGGAGAUGGGAAGGGGGGAAAGAAAAGAGAGAAAGGGAGAGAAGCCAAGGCUAAACCUUUCCUCACUAGCACUCGAUGUACUGUAUUGGGAUAGGUGCGGGCUCCAUAUCCUGCGCCCUGCUGUUCCUCCCCCCAGCGGGGUGGCUCUAUGCCAGAACCUUGAAGUCAGCCACAAAUAAAUGCUGGCUGGGAAAGCCCGAUUAGGAAAAGGGGCGAAGUGAGUCUGUGACUAAUCGUAGAGGCCUCGGACGGACUACAAGGCCAUGUGCAUCUGACAUAAUCGACACUAAAAGAGGAGAUGGCUUAGCCGCACUUAAUUGCAGACUUAGAAAAAAUUGCCGGGUGAGCAGUGCCGAUAUAGAUUAUACGGACCCCGGGAGAUCUAGAAGUAACCCUGCUCUUGAGUUCAGCACGGAGGCCACCUCUUUUAAGAG
rnacentral:lncRNA from 1 species